rnacentral:rRNA from 1 species
UACGUAGGGUGCGAGCGUUGUCCGGAAUUAUUGGGCGUAAAGAGCUCGUAGGCGGUUUGUCGCGUCUAUCGUGAAAACUAGCAGCUUAACUGUUGGCGUGCGGUGGAUACGGGCAGACUUGAGUUCGGUAGGGGAGACUGGAAUUCCUGGUGCAGCGGUGAAAUGCGCAGAUAUCAGGAGGAACACCGGUGGCGAAGGCGGGUCUCUGGGCCGAUACUGACGCUGAGGAGCGAAAGCGUGGGGAGCGAACAGG